UACGUAGGGACCAAGCGUUGUUCGGAUUUACUGGGCGUAAAGCGCACGCAGGUGGCUGAGUCAGUCGAUUGUGAAAGCCCUGGGCUUAACCUGGGAAUUGCAGUCGAUACUACUCAGCUAGAGUAUGGGAGAGGGCAGUGGAAUUCCCGGUGUAGCGGUGAAAUGCGUAGAUAUCGGGAGGAACAUCAGUGGCGAAGGCGGCUGCCUGGCCCAAUACUGACACUCAGGUGCGACAGCGUGGGGAGCAAACAGG
rnacentral:rRNA from 1 species